UUUUUCCCCAUCAGCUCAAGGUUGGGAGCCACUGCUGAGAUUAAAGAAAAAAUAAAGAGCACUAGGACCAAAUGGAGGUGUGCUAUCAAAGGUGACUCUUUGAUGAAAGAGUCAAAUGUGGCCUACUAGAAACUCCAAUGAACAAAUGCGACUGGAAAAACUUGAGGGUUUUUUUUUACUUUCAUAGAUAAUAUCUGCUUUGCCAACACAGCUGCUGCUUUUUCAUGGAACAUAGUAAAACACUUUUUAGCAUAUUUGUUUCAUUGUUUGUCUAAUGUUUUAGAAUCAGGAAACUUAAGGAGUGACUUCCUAAAAAAACUGUACAAAACCCACAAUCUACAGGAACUUACACUAAAUAAUAAUCUCAAAAGGAGAAAAAAAGAGCAACAAAGUUUAGAAAAAAAGAUUUGGGAAAUUAUUUCUAAAAGUCAACCUAUUCAGAAUGCACCAUGAAAUUAAGAGCAGGGUCAAUUUCAGGGAGACUGAAGAUUAAGAAGAACUACAGCUUUUGAUUUUUCACAACUCUUACACAUUCAGGGCUUUAGCUAGGAGAUCAUAAAAUUUUCAAACAAUAGAAAAAGCCUUUGUGGG
rnacentral:lncRNA from 1 species